AAAAAAGCGUGAGCCAUUGGAUGAAGAUUCAUUAUUUGACGUGGAUCAUCACACGGCCUAGAAGCGCGCGUUCACCAUACACCUUGGUCAACUGAAACACACCCAGACAUUAAAAGAGUCAUAACAUUGGACGCAUGAGAUUCAAUCUAGAAAUAGAGAUGGACGCUCCUGAUUGAAUCUGGAGACCAGACGGUGGCCAGCGCCACUGUCUUCUCCGAC
rnacentral:lncRNA from 1 species